rnacentral:siRNA from 1 species
CUAAUCCAGGUACAAUAACUCACC